AUGGUGCUUGUGGACCGUGGAGGAGGUCGAAGGGACGUCGAGGGUUGGUGCCGUACGGAUGCAGCGGUUCCUGCUGGGGCAUCGUCGGUAGUGAUGUGGCAAUGUGAGGGGUUGCGGAAGUUUAAGUUUGCGAAGAAGGAGGAAGUGAGUUGCGUGAAAGCGGUAUCGGAUGUUCUUGCAUUGAGUUUGCAGCUUGGAGUUUAUGGUUGUGACAGAUCGGAGCAUCGUUUGAAACGGUAG